GGAGCUCCGUUUAUCGGUUUGAGGCCCGCGACCAUGCGCUGGAAAGCUAAGAGAAAAUUCUAGAACUUUCAUGUUGAGGACAGAACCCAGUUCGGAGUGCAAAGGAGUCAAGUAAUCGUGUUUUGUUCCAGACGUUAUUUUAAAUAAUUAAUUUCGAGACAACAUUUGUUUUUCGGCCCGAUACUCGUAAGGCCCGUUUUUCCCAUGUAAUAUAAAAACUAAAAAACACAGCUCAUUCUGCAUUCACGUAGGGCUGCUCAUUCUGCAUUCACGUUUCAGAAAAUAGAAAUCCUAAGGCAACCGCUUGCUAUGGAGAACUAAUCUCUCUUUCGAUCCAUUGGUGAAGGAACUUUGUUGUUACUCUUGAGGUUCGGUUUUAAUAGCAAUUUGUUAUGUUUAUGCUGAUCAUAUAUCAAUUUUCUU
rnacentral:lncRNA from 1 species